CGCAUCUGUGCAUGCAGCAUAUCAAUAAGCGGAGGAAAAGAAACCUAACAAGGAUUCCCUUAGUAACGGCGAGUGAAGCGGGAAGAGCUCAAAUUUGAAAUCUUCAAGGUUUUACCUUGACGAAUUGUAGUUUAAAGAAGUGUUUUCUGUUGAAGUUUUGGUAAAAGUUCUUUGGAAUAGGACAUCAUAGAGGGUGAGAAUCCCGUAUUUGACCAUUAUUUUCAGCUGUGUGAUACACUUUCAAAGAGUCGGAUUGUUUGGGAAUGCAGUCCAAAAUGGGUGGUAAAUUUCAUCUAAAGCUAAAUAUUGGCGAGAGACCGAUAGCGAACAAGUACCGUGAGGGAAAGAUGAAAAGAACUUUGAAAAGAGAGUUAAACAGUACGUGAAAUUGUCAAAAGGGAAGCGUUUGACACCAGUGUUGUUUUCUCGAAAAUCAAUUAAAAAGAGUUUGAUUUUGUUGUGUAUUGACCUUAACAGCUUGCAUUUCAAUUUUCUUGCUUUUUUUAAUGCACUUUUCGUUUAACAAGUCAACAUCAGUUUCUUUUGUUGUAAAAAGGUCAUUGGAAGGUGGCUUUCUUUUCGGAGAAAGUGUUUAUAGCCUUUGACUCCUGCAAUCGGAGAGACUGAGGUCUGCAGCGUAGAUCCUUCGGGGUUAGAUACAUUUGUGCUAAGUUAUAGCUUUUUAUAGACAACUUGUUGACUAUGAUUAGUCUUGUAGCUUACUCGCUUAUGCUAUUUUACCUACGCUUAGGAUGUUGACACACGCGCGUGCUCG
rnacentral:rRNA from 1 species